CUUCCUCGUCUCCCCAACCGGCCGCCGCCGAGCUCUCCUCUUCCCCAACCCCACCGGCGGGCGGCCUUCUCUCCUCCAUCCCCGCCGGCGACCUCCGACGACCUCCUCCAUCUACCUCGCCACCGGCGCCCCCUACCCUAUCCCUCUCUCCCCUUUUGAUGGACACCUCAGAUCCAAUCGUGCAGCUCAGGCCGCGGCUUGCGCACACCGGCAGAGGACGACCGCCGCCUCCUCCUUCCAUCCCCUACCCUAGCCUCCUCCACGGCGCCCGAAACCCUACCCCUCUCUUCCACCCAUGGAUGGAUGGGGCGUGAAAGAUGGCCACGGAUCUGUUCCGGCGACGACGGCGCCGGAUCCGCACCCACCUACGGCGGCAGCAGCAGCAGCAUCCCGAUGGAGGCCGGCCACGAACCAUAGCCGACCGCAGCAGGAUCCGCCCCCUGCUCUCGGUGGGGCGGGGCGGGAUUAGUGAUGGCCCUCGACGCCGGCGACACCUGCAGCAUCUCGCUCCCGUCAGGCUGCAGGACCUGUACUCUACGCCCAAGACACGUGAAGCUCUACUUAUACCAGAAGAUUGAGAGGUCGUUGCUGCGAUGGUCCUUGACGAUGAUGAGCUAGGAGACUGCUGCAGCAUCCCUGACAGGCCUGUAGAACCUAGACGGCCAAGUUAUGCCUCCCCUCUUUCCUUCCCCUCCUGUCAUGUCCAUAGCUUACUUAUCAUGCUGUCCAGAUUAGAUAAAUUUCUACAAACGUUGCCCUCGGAUUCAAGCUCAUUGGUUCGUGAUUAGCCGGAAAAGUACAUUUGAGGAGAAUAAUAUCUGUAGCUUUAUUAUACUCUAAAGGACCCAGAGAGGCUCUUAAUGUUCACUAGCUUACUCGCUGGCUCAGGAAAAGAAGCAUAUACUUGAUAUGUCUGAUUUUUUUUGAAGGCUUUCUUUAAUUUUUGAAUAGUCUUUUGUUAUCAAGUAAAACAAUCAGGACAUACUCUCGUGUGUGCGUGUGUGUGUGUGUGUGUGUGAAGCACAACAAAGCAAAUCAGUCUUGCUCGUCAAGUGCAUGUCUCUUGCUUUUUUCUGUAGUCUCUAGUCAAGCAAAGUUUAAACAAACUCGUUAGCAAGUUAGAUGUUGGUCUGCUCAACUUAUUUAUGUUCUGCAUAUACGUGAUGGCUGCCUACUACAUCCUUGCUUAAAUUGGAAGAAAUACCACUGUUUAUUUAUGUUCUGCAUCCUUGCUUGGCGUUUCCUGAAUCCUGAUGCUUUUGGAUGAUACUGGAUCUUUAUUCCUGGUGCUGCUGUAUGUAUGUGUGUACGCAGGUCGCCGAUGGACCCCGGGAUGAAGGCGAUCAAGAGGCUGAUUGGGCUGCCUGGAGACACAUGAUAUCCGGAAGAUACCGGAUGGACACUGCUGGGUCGAAGAGGACAAUGGCAGCUUUGGUUGGAUCUCAAGAGCAUAUGGCAAUGAUGCAGAUAAAAAAGGCUUGGCUACUAUUGCCGGUGAGGUGAAGCAGUUGGCUCUAAGGGUAAAGGAUAAAAGUCUAAAACCAGAAGAUUAUGAGGUACGAACACCUGGAACAGGUUUGAGAUCUGGGUGCACAAGACGGUCAUCGACCUUGUCAGCUUCCUUGAUGUUGCUAAGCAUAUCAUCAUGGAGAGGGUGAUGUGACCAGCAGCAACGUAGUCGUCAUGCAGGGAGCCAAGGACAUGUGGCUGUUGGUGAAGGGCCUGAUUAGGAUGCCUACCAAGUUGCUCAACACCACCACCAGGAAGUCUCCCUAUGGUGCAAGGAACAUUACCAAGUGUAGGUGUGUGUGAUGUCCUUGAUGCUUGGCUACUAUUGCCAAUGAGGUGAAGCAGUUGGAUCUAAGAGCAAGGGAACAAUCUAGAACCAGAGGAUUAUGAGUUUUGAGAUGCGGGUGCCCAAGAGGGUCAUUGACCUCAUCUGCUCCUUGAAUGUCGUCAAGCAUAUCACCAUCGAGAGGUUGAGGUGAUCGGCAGCGACCAGUUGUUGUCGUGAAGGGAGACAUGCAACUAUUGGUAAAGGUCCCCAUUAGGAUGCCUACCAAGUUGCUCAACACCACCACCAGCAAGGAAAAUUACCAAGUGUAUGUGUGUGUGUUGUCCUUGAUGCUUUGCUACUAUUGCCGAUGAGGUGAAGCAGUUGGCUCUACGAGCAAGGGAACAAUAUGUAACCAAGGGAUUAUGAGUUAUAGACCAAGAUAUGUUUCUGAAACGUAAGAGUAUUCAAUAGUAUUCGUCCUUGAUAAUUUUGAUGCUAUGCUUUGCUUACAAUUCAGGAUUGGGCUCUUUGGCUUGGGUAAUUGUGUCAUCAAUGGAUUGGCAUGAUGCUAUGGGCAUCAUCACCAUGCUUGUUAUCAACCAGUACAGGCCACUUUCUUCCUCUGUCGUGCCACUGCAACCGGGCUGCUAGUUGUACAGAUCAUCGAGAGGUUGAGGUGAUCGGCAGUCACCAGUUGGUGUCGUGAAGGGAGCCAAGGACAUGCAGCUAUUGGUGAAGGUCCCAAUUAGGUGCCCACCAAGGUGCUCGACAACACCACCAGGAAGACCCCUGUGGUGUAAGAUUGGUCCCUGGCACUGCUCUGGUCAUAACUUUUUGCUCACAACUCCAAAUGAGGCCCCAUCCAUAAGGCCUGCCUCAUCUCGUAGCACGACGCCUUUGGACAUGGGGGUAGUGGCACGGAGUCCUGACUACUACUUCCGUCGCCUUGAGCUUUGCUGCCCUCGACGCUGCCAUGGAUUGGUCGCUCUCACCAAGGAGGCCAACCUCUUCGAAGUCAUUGUUUUUGGAAAUAAACAUGGAAGGGGGAAUUGGUGCAGGUAGCAAAAGUACCAACUUAGCUGAAAAGCAUACAUGAUUUGAAGCCAAGCUUGCCACACAUUAAUGGGUGGCCAGGCGCUGUCUGCCGACUCUUGCAUCCUGCACGGACGCCUCAGGAGGGAAACGUCUUGGGUGAUCCAUGGCAUAGGAUCUUGCCAUGGUCGGCUUCACAAAGGUUUUCUGACCCUGCAGAAGUGGCCGCUGAUGAGGCUAGUGGAUCCUGUAGAAUGCAGGCACAACACAACACACCGCUGCCUCCUCGCUGACCGUGGGCUAGGCCAGAUCUGGUCGACAUGGCCCAAGAACUAGAAGACGUCGGUUGGGAGAAUAAAUGGACUCAUGCCAACAUUUGCUCCUGUACUACUGCCAGUGAGCCCGUGAUGUGCUGCUGCAUUGACUUUGCCAUGAUGCCAACCUCGCUUCGGGCUGGUAUGUGCUUUUUUCUCCCCUAUGAUCUUCUUCCUAUUCUGAUUUAUCUAUAGAUAGUGUGUGAUUGCUGAUUUGCAUAAUUGAUGAUGUUCAUUGAAUCCAUGACAACUCACUGUUCAUGCUACUACUUGUUCAUCCUGACAACAUAAGGAAACAUAGAUUGGGAAGCUAUGGAUUUUGUAACGCUGCCCUGAAUUGUUUUCGAAAACAUAAAAUGGAUAUCUGAUGAAGAUAUGGAUUUUGCUGCGUUGGGUUCAGUGCUAGUUCUAUCAGUUGCAUCUGUGUAUACAUGUAAACCAUUCACUAUAUUCUGCUUUGAAACUUUGUGAUGAUAGAAUUAAUACUUCAUGAUCUCUAUCCGAACAUUGAUCUGCUGAUGUGAUAAAAUCCAAUGUAUAUGCUUACAAAGUGAAACCAACUACACUCUGUACAAACCUUGCUUGUUACAGCCGAACACCAAGACUGUUGAUGGUAUCC